GUCAAGAGUGCAGAAGCUCUGAUUUGUUAUAAUGCUUCUGGUUGGUUGCUCAGAGACGAGAGACCUCAGAUAAUGAAGCCAUCUGGGAGAAAUCGCAGGUUUAUUAAAGCCUGUGGGAUUUUCAAAACCUCAGCAACCCUGAUCCAAUCAGCUUGUGGCAAGAGAACUACCAUAUGUUUGGAAAUCUUGGAGAAAUAAAGCAUUUGCCUGAAGUACAUUCAGAGAAGAUGUGAAGACAGCCUGAUCUAGAUGAUCCUGGGAGAAGCUGGCUGGAUGGUAGUUUUAUGUCUUUCCAGUUCCUGGGAAAUCACAGAAUCAUAGCAUCAGCAAGAUUGCAAAAGACCUCUGAGAUCACCCAGUCCAACCAUCCACCUAUCACUAAUAUUUCCCACUAAACCAUGUCCUUCAGUACAACAUCUAAAUAUUUAUUGAGCACCUCCAGGGACAGUGACUCCACCACCUGCCUGGGCAGCCCAUUCCAGUGCCUGACCACACUCUCGAAAAAGAAGUAUUUCCUAACAUUCAACCUGAAUCUCCCCUGGCACAACUUGAGGCCAUUUCCUCUAGCCCUGCUGCUAGAUACAUAGGAGAAGAGAGAUAUGAGUCUCUUACAACAAAAGGUAAGGGUGGCCUACUCCUUACCAUUACUUGUUGUGUUUGCAGAGACAGCAUUUUUCUCACUAAUGACUGAUGGUGUCUAGUCUGAGGUUCAGAACAAGCUGUGAAACACUCUUUGAUGGCUGCUUCCCAACACUUCCACACAGAUAGGGAAGGCUGAGAACUGCUGCCUGCCAGCUGCAGCAUGCACACUGCUCAUCAGCACCAAACCUUUCUGAACUGUGACUCUGCGUGUGCCUGAACUCUUCCGCUGCCAUUCCUUACCCCUCCCAGAUGACCCCAUGUCCAUGUCUUCAGUGUAAGUAUGCUUAUAUACAAAUUAUAUGACAUGUCUGGAACUGAGAAUCAUCAAAUUCAUUGAAGUGUGGAGAUGCCCACUCUGUUAGCCCAGUGAAUGUGGCAGUGCAGCUAAUGGCAAACACUCAAGUGCUGGGAGCCCCAUUUGAGCAACUGCAUCUGUGCAGAAACCUGGUGGAGCCCAGCAGUGCUCUCACAGCACAGCACUCAGCCUGGGCAAACUGAGACCCGUAGGACUUGUAAUUAAA
ensembl:lncRNA